rnacentral:rRNA from 1 species
AUUGAACGCUGGCGGCAGGCUUAACACAUGCAAGUCGAGCGGAGUGAUGGUGCUUGCACUAUCACUUAGCGGCGGACGGGUGAGUAAUGCUUAGGAAUCUGCCAUUUAGUGGGGGACAACAUUCCGAAAGGAAUGCUAAUACCGCAUACGUCCUACGGGAGAAAGCAGGGGAUCUUCGGACCUUGCGCUAAAUGAUGAGCCUAAGUCGGAUUAGCUAGUUGGUGGGGUAAGGGCCUACCAAGGCGACGAUCUGUAGCGAGUCUGAGAGGAUGAUCCGCCACACUGGGACUGAGACACGGCCCAGACUCCUACGGGAGGCAGCAGUGGGGAAUAUUGGACAAUGGGCGGAAGCCUGAUCCAGCCAUGCCGCGUGUGUGAAGAAGGCCUUUUGGUUGUAAAGCACUUUAAGCGAGGAGGAGGCUACUAGUACUAAUACUACUGGAUAGUGGACGUUACUCGCAGAAUAAGCACCGGCUAACUCUGUGCCAGCCGCCGCGGUAAAAC